AUUGAACGCUGGCGGCAUGCUUUACACAUGCAAGUCGAACGGCAGCGCGGGGGCAACCCUGGCGGCGAGUGGCGAACGGGUGAGUAAUGCAUCGGAACGUAUCCUGUAAUGGGGGAUAACGUAGCGAAAGUUACGCUAAUACCGCAUACGCUCGAGAGAGGAAAGUGGGGGAUCGCAAAGACCUCACGUUAUAGGAGCGGCCGAUGUCCGAUUAGCUAGUUGGUGGGGUAAAGGCCUACCAAGGCGACGAUCGGUAGCUGGUCUGAGAGGAUGAUCAGCCACACUGGGACUGAGACACGGCCCAGAUUCCUACGGGAGGCAGCAGUGGGGAAUUUUGGACAAUGGGCGAAAGCCUGAUCCAGCCAUGCCGCGUGCGGGAAGAA
rnacentral:rRNA from 1 species